rnacentral:rRNA from 1 species
UACGUAGGGUGCAAGCGUUAAUCGGAAUUACUGGGCGUAAAGCGUGCGCAGGCGGUUUUGCAAGACCGCUGUGAAAUCCCCGGGCUUAACCUGGGAAUGGCAUUGGUGACUGCACGGCUAGAGUGUGUCAGAGGGGGGUAGAAUUCCACGUGUAGCAGUGAAAUGCGUAGAGAUGUGGAGGAAUACCGAUGGCGAAGGCAGCCCCCUGGGAUAACACUGACGCUCAUGCACGAAAGCGUGGGGAGCAAACAGG